GUCAGAAAACUCCCCAGCUAAACACCCGUAAGACUUCAUACAACACAAUACUCUAUACUGUGAUGAUCACAGCUGCCAAGGUAAGAAACAGAUUUCGCUGACUUUGGCUACCUAAAAGAAGACAGUUAUCUCAUAUUUGGCUGCCAGCUUUUUAUCUUUCUCUCGACCACUUAAAACUUCAGACUUCCUGUCCUGCUGGUAUCAUGGAGAAAGUCCAAUACCUCACUCGCUCAGCUAUAAGAAGAGCCUCAACCAUUGAAAUGCCUCAACAAGCACGUCAAAAGCUACAGAAUCUAUUUAUCAAUUUCUGUCUCAUCUUAAUAUGUCUCUUGCUGAUCUGUAUCAUCGUGAUGCUUCUCUGAAGUUCUGCUACAACCUCUAGAUCUGCAGCUUGCCACAUCAGCUUAAAAUCUGUCAUCCCAUGCAGACAGGAAAACAAUAUUGUAUAACAGACCACUUCCUGAGUAGAAGAGUUUCUUUGUGAAAAGGUCAAGAUUAAGACUAAAACUUAUUGUUACCAUAUGUAUUCAUCUGUUGGAUCUUGUAAACAUGAAAAGGGCUUUAUUUUCAAAAAUUAACUUCAAAAUAAGUGUAUAAAAUGCAACUGUUGAUUUCCUCAACAUGGCUCACAAAUUUCUAUCCCAAAUCUUUUCUGAAGAUGAAGAGUUUAGUUUUAAAACUGCACUGCCAACAAGUUCACUUCAUAUAUAAAGCAUUAUUUUUACUCUUUUGAGGUGAAUAUAAUUUAUAUUACAAUGUAAAAGCUUCUUUAAUACUAAGUAUUUUUCAGGUCUUCACCAAGUAUCAAAGUAAUAACACAAAUGAAGUGUCAUUAUUCAAAAUAGUCCACUGACUCCUCACAUCUGUUAUCUUAUUAUAAAGAACUAUUUGUAGUAACUAUCAGAAUCUACAUUCUAAAACAGAAAUUGUAUUUUUUCUAUGCCACAUUAACAUCUUUUAAAGUUGAUGAGAAUCAAGUAUGGAAAAGUAAGGCCAUACUCUUACAUAAUAAAAUUCCUUUUAAGUAAUUUUUUCAAAGAAUCACAGAAUUCUAGUACAUGUAGGUAAAUCAUAAAUCUGUUCUAAGACAUAUGAUCAACAGAUGAGAACUGGUGGUUAAUAUGUGACAGUGAGAUUAGUCAUAUCACUAAUAUACUAACAACAGAAUCUAAUCUUCAUUUAAGGCACUGUAGUGAAUUAUCUGAGCUAGAGUUACCUAGCUUACCAUACUAUAUCUUUGGAAUCAUGAAACCUUAAGACUUCAGAAUGAUUUUGCAGGUUGUCUUCCAUUCCAGCCUAACAUCCAAUGCAGGCAAGGAAAAUAAAAGAUUUCCAGUGACAGAAAAAUAUAUUAUCUCAAGUAUUUUUUAAAAAUAUAUGAAUUCUCUCUCCAAAUAUUAACUAAUUAUUAGAUUAUAUUUUGAAAUGAACUUGUUGGCCCAUCUAUUACAUCUACAGCUGACCCUUGAACAUGGGGGUUAGGGGAGCUGACAAUUCGUGGGUCCGCAAAAUCUUAACUACCUAAUAGCCUACUAUUGACCAUAAACCUUACUGAUAACAUAAACAGUAAAUUAACACAUAUUUUGCGUGUUAUAUGUAUUAUACACUAUAUUCCUACAAUAAAGUAAGCUAGAGAAAAUGUUAUUUAGAAAAUCAUAAGAAAGAGAAAAUAUAUUUACUAUUCAUUAAAUGGAAGUGGGUCAACAUAAAAGUCUUCAUUCUCAUUGUCUUCACAUUGAGUAGGCAGAGGAGGAGAAAGAUGGGGAGGAAGAGAAGGCGUUGGUCUUGCAGUCUUGUCUUAGGGGUGUGGGGAGUGGGGGAAAGAAUAUUCAUGUAUAAGUGGACCCUUGCAAUUCAAGCCCUUGUUGUUCAAGGGUCAACUGUAAUAGGAUAUAGCUAUUUUUCUUCCUCUAUCAACCAAAUGGUAAGCAUCUAUUUUGCAGUCCACUCUACUGAGCUAAAUUAUAGAUCCAGCUAUGCUAUUUAUAAUUAUUUUCUUGAUGAAUAAAUUUUCAAUUUCUCCUCUGACCAUUUCAGAACAUCUUCCAAUAACUCAUAAAACAACUGAAGUAAAAUUGAGUGCUGGAAAAUAUAUUCACCAAACUUUGGUAAUUUAAGUUGACUAAAGUUUAAAAUUAAGUCUAAAAUAGUUUACACCUAUACUGCAUAAUCCAACAAUUUUAAUUUCAGUUGAAGACAUGUUACUAAUAUAACUAUUAUUAAAAGAGUAGAGGAUGUGUAAUUAACCAUAUCUUCUAAAACAUGGUUACUAAAAGAAUAUGUAACAUCAAUAUUGACCUUGGUUUCUUACACAAGUGUUGCUAACUCAAUAGUGAAGGAGACACUAUUAAAUUUUCUGAACCCAUGAGAGAUACUAGAGAUGGGGAGUGGAAAGUGUUUGGUUCAGGGAUAUCUGAAGAACAGAAGGGCAGAGAUUUCUUAAGUGACGCCUCAUCUACAAGCUGGAAAUUCCUAAAAACAAGUAGAAAGCUUAUAAACAACAGGUGAUACACUCACCUCACUGGUUUUAGUAAAUUACCAAUACAGAAAGUAUCCCUAGUCUUAAAAACAAGUGGAAAAUUUGAACUGAUUAGUCAUAUUCCUUUGAUUACACUGUUUGUUACAAUAUUUUUCUCAGUAAACAGAAAUAACUAAUUUUUUUGUUCUUCAUUCUUUGAUAGAAAUUAAAAUCUUAUUCUGUGAGGAUUACAGAAUACUAUAACUCAAAUUAUAAAGUAGAAUAAACUCUUUAAAUAAUUAUUCUUCAUCAUAAAGUGUAAAGAAUAAGAUAUAAGAAAACAAUUUAUUUUUAAAAUUUAAUAUACUAAAUGCUCAAAUAUGUUCUACUAUAGAAUAAGUUCUUAUCUUAAUUUACAGGGCACUAAAAACAAUUUUAAAAUGCUUAAUGUUGCCUUUUAUAUUUUAAUUGGUUAAGAAUAUAUAUUUGUUUAAUGCAAAUCAGAAUCACUAUAUUAAAAUGAAUGUUCUUGAAAACUCAGUGGGGCUGCUCUAUAAUACACUUACAAUUGAUACUAACGAUAAAACGCUCUAAUUAUAGUUUUAAUUUUAUAGGGGUUUUUUUGGUGACUUUCCCCAAAUAAAACAAAAUCAAGACGCCCAAGUCCAGAC
rnacentral:lncRNA from 1 species